rnacentral:rRNA from 1 species
UACGUAGGGUGCAAGCGUUGUCCGGAAUUAUUGGGCGUAAAGAGCGUGUAGGCGGCCCGACCAGUCCGCUGUGAAAGUCCAGGGCUCAACCCUGGAAUGCCGGUGGAUACUGUCGGGCUAGAGUCCGGAAGGGGCGAGUGGAAUUCCUGGUGUAGCGGUGAAAUGCGCAGAUAUCAAGAGGAACACCUGAGGUGAAGACGGGUUGCUGGGCCGACACUGACGCUGAUGCGCGAAAGCCAGGGGAGCAAACGGG